UUUUGGUCUGAAUAAAUGAAAAAUGAUAAAGGAAGAUAGGCGUAGCAAAAGGCUGAAUAGGUUGGAAACAAGAUUAUGUAGAACAAAUAAGUAAUGAGAUCGGGCCUUGGAACGAACCCAGGCGAUAAGACAAUAGAUCGGGAAUUAAGAUAAGUUUGGAUCCCGGCCGAGCGGCAAAAGAGAUCGGAUGCUGCAAAUCAAAGAAUUCUGAUAAAGCGAUCAUGCGGGAGAUCGGCAAGGAGUUCGGUCGUUCGUCCACCUUCUAGUUAAAAGGUCCCGUAGGCUAGGAAAAGCUUUACACAGGGGUUCCUAUGUCUUCGGUACUCCAUGCCGACAAAAAGGGGUCAAGAGGGACCUUUUACCUGAAUCCUUAGUUCAAAGUUCUUAUAAACACGACAUUCUAAUAAAUACAUUAAGAGAUCAAAGGAGACUUCUUACCCGAGCUCAGCCUAAUUUUUAACGCAAUAUAGAGAUCGGAGGAGAGUUCUUACCUGAGCUCAGCCUAAUUUUUAACGCAAUAUAGAGAUCGGAGGAGAGUUCUUACCU
rnacentral:misc_RNA from 1 species